rnacentral:rRNA from 1 species
GACGAACGCUGGCGGCGUGCUUAACACAUGCAAGUCGAACGGAAAGGCCCUGCUUGCAGGGUACUCGAGUGGCGAACGGGUGAGUAACUCGUGGGUGAUCUGCCCUGCACUUUGGGAUAAGCUUCUGAAACUGGGUCUAAUACCGGACAGGAGCCAUCAUCAGUGCGGUGGGUGGCAAGCUUUUUCGGUGUAGGAUGAGCGCGCGGCCUAUCAGCUUGUUGGUGGGGUAAUGGCCUACCAAGGCGGCGACGGGUAGCCGGCCUGUGAGGGUGUACGGCCACAUAGGGACUGAGAGACGGCCCAGACUGCUACGGGAGGCAGCAGUGGGGAAUAUUGCACAAGGGGCGCAAGACUGAUGCAGCGACGCCGGGUGGGUGAUGAAGGCCGGCGGGUUGUAAGCGCCUUUCGCUAGGGACGAAGCAUUUUGUGACGGUACCUAGAUAAGAAGCACCGGCUAACUACGUG